rnacentral:rRNA from 1 species
UAGAAGUAUGUACGGAACGGGGUCGGUGCCAAAGCUAACGCAUUAAGUAUCCCACCUGGGGAGUACGAUCGCAAGGUUGAAACUCAAAGGAAUUGACGGGGGCCCGCACAAGCAGUGGAGCAUGUGGUUCAAUUCGAUGCAACGCGAAGAACCUUACCUGGGUUUGAAAAGCUAGUGACAUCCGAUGAAAGUCGGCUUCUCCGCAAGGGGCACUAGUACAGGUGCUGCAUGGCUGUCGUCAGCUCGUGCCGUGAGGUGUUAGGUUAAGUCCUGCAACGAGCGCAACCCCUGCACUUAGUUGCCAGCAAGUAAUGUUGGGCACUCUAAGUGGACUGCCUACGCAAGUAGAGAGGAAGGCGGGGAUGACGUCAAGUCCUCAUGGCCCUUACAUCCAGGGCUACACACGUGCUACAAUGGUCGAUACAACGGGUUGCCAAAUCGCGAGAUGGAGCUAAUCCCUUAAAAUCGACCUCAGUUCGGAUUGGAGUCUGCAACUCGACUCCAUGAAG